rfam:Tumebacillus sp. AR23208, complete genome.
GCGGAUGUGGCGGAAUUGGCAGACGCACUGGUUUUAGGUACCAGCGGGCGACCGUGGGGGUUCGAGUCCCUUCAUCCGCA